UACGUAGGGUGCAAGCGUUGUCCGGAAUUAUUGGGCGUAAAGAGCUCGUAGGCGGUCUGUCGCGUCGGCUGUGAAAACCCGGGGCUCAACUCCGGGCCUGCAGUCGAUACGGGCAGACUAGAGUUCGGCAGGGGAGACUGGAAUUCCUGGUGUAGCGGUGAAAUGCGCAGAUAUCAGGAGGAACACCGGUGGCGAAGGCGGUUCUCUGGGAAUGUCCUGACGCUGAGGAGCGAAAGUGUGGGGAGCGAACAGG
rnacentral:rRNA from 1 species